AACUGAAGUUUGCAGGAAAUAAGUAACUUGGCCAAGACAAUUCAACAAAAGUGGUGGUGACCUAAGAUUCCAAUUCAGACCAUUUCACUCCAGACCCUUAUCAAUAUGCAGUGACCACAAAUCCAACCAACUACCCAGCAAUAAUACAGACCACUCCUGAAUGUGUUUACUUUUAGCCUGAGGUGACAGCUUACAGAAAAUAACCUUUUUUAUAAAAGGAGAAAACAAGACAUGGAAACUCAGAUGGGCAAUCCCACGCGAGGGGUCCAGAGCAAUGAGUUGUGGGGCUGUGUGAUCCAUGGUAGGAAAGAGGAAGCAUGCAAGUUCGCGGCUCAGCACAGAUGAUGGACAUUGUCUGUAUCACGGAGGGCAGAGAGAAGCAUCGUGCUCAAAACUUCACACUUUUCCUUUCCUGCUUCCAAGACGUUGUGGACAUAAAUGAUUUGGAUCAAAGCAAUCUGCCAUCUCUGAAUUAACCAACCUUCCUAGGCUGUGGAAGCGAGUAUCAGACUUGGAUUUAUGAGCUGCUUUUGGACGCUUAUCACUGGGAUCUUUCUUUGGCUAACAGAUGAGGAAUAAGGCGUUCGGUCUUCUGAUCUGCAACCGAGAAAUGACUUCAAAAACUCAUGCCCUACAAUAGGAAAAUCCAAAGCUUUUGACCACAACUGUUUCUUUGGUCAUGUUGCCUAUAUUUUGAUGAACAAUGAAAUGAUCAGGCAACUGUUUAAGAGGAUCAAUGAACAAUAAGUGGCCUAAAAUAACUGACUCAUGGAAGCAGCAAAGCUUUUUGUAGGCAUCUUACGGAUCUUAAAUAUGGAG